rnacentral:piRNA from 1 species
UAGCUAAGCAAGCAGGCAGACAUUCUGCUC